rnacentral:lncRNA from 1 species
CACAAUUCACCUCUCAGGUUGAAUUUUUUUAUAAAUAAUCCUAUCAAUUUUUAUAAUUGUAAAAAUAGUUUUUUUAAAAAAAAUAAUUAUAAAAAUAGACCUCUAAAAUGCGGUGAAUGAUUCACCGCAUUCAUAACUCCUUUAUAGGAGUAGAAAAAGAAUAAAAGGUUCACCGUUUUUACCAUCGUAGAAAUAUAGAAAGAAGUAAAAAAAGAAAGAAAGCGGUGAAACCAUUCACCGUUUUUAUAGUACUAUAUUUAUAAAUAAAAAUUUAACAGAUAUAUUUUUAGAAUAAAAUUUUAGGAGAAAUGUAAUGUCCCGGAUGGGUUGAGGGUGAUUUGGGGGUGAGUUUGAAAAAGAGAAGGAGAGGUACGUAGAGAGACAGAGGGAGAUAAGGAGGAGUGAGAUCAUUAGGAGGAAGAGAGUAGGGUUUAAAAAAAAAUAGAGGAGAGUGGGAAGAGAUGAGAGGGGGAAGGAGAAGAUUAGAGAAAUAGUGGAGAAGAAGAGGAUAAUUGGGGGAAGAAAAGCUAAUUCAUUUCAUUCUCCUCCUGUUUACAUCUUUAGUUGAUAUUUAUACCUCUACUAAUGCAUACUGAAAUGUAAAAUUAACUUGCUAAGAGGGCUACAUUGCAAAAGUGAAAAAUAGGAGUAUAGGCUGGUGUAACUGGGCUUUGGUUUGGGCCAUCCCGGUCCAGUAGACUGGUUAUCGGGAAAACGGGCAUCGGUUCCACUCUUCUCCGCACUAUCCGCGAACCCGGCGGGUCUUGGGUCCGCCCUUUUGCCUCCGCUCCAGAAGACUGCUGCUUCGACCCGCUGCGCCUCCUUCCCCCACUACUAUUUCUUCAGGGUUGUUACAAGAAACUAUUUCACUAAAAAACCCUCUCAGCUUUCUUCAGCAACAAGGCGCACGGCUGAAUCACUAUUACCACUCGAGGCUGUAGAGGGAUCGCCGCUUUCGCUACCUCCCCUCGACCUCGCCAUGGCUCCGGAGGCCGAAGACGAGUUGAACGAGAAGAACCCGCGCCCCCUCGACGAAGACGACAUCGCCCUCCUCAAAACCUACGUACGCAUCCCCUAAUCUCCUCGCUUCUUUGGUUCGCCUCGAUUUAGGGCUAGGUUAGGUUACUUUGUUUGUGCAUCAGAUUCCGCCAGAGUGUGGUGAUUUAUUAAUACCUUUGUUGUUUGGAUCGAUUGUAUAAUAAGGGUUUGUGUGGAAACUAUUUGAUGUUCCUCUUAUUUUGUUUAAGUGCAUUUAUGGUGAUAAAAUGAGAAUUGUGUGAUAUGGCAGGGUCUGGGACCUUAUUCUGAGAGCAUAAAGAAGGCAGAGAAGGAGAUUAAGGAGAUGGUGAAGAAGAUCAAUGAUCUAUGUGGUAAGUAGUGUGUUAAUAUCAUCAUAUGCCUAAAUAUGUGUACAUACAAAGAAAUGGAUGUAUAAAUAUGUAAACUGGAGCUUGUUUUGCUUAUUUUUUUCUUGUAAUGAAAUAAUGCGACUCUACUUUCUCAAGUGAUAAGUAAAGAAUGAUUCUUUUGAAAGUUUUGUGUACUUAAGCAGCUGAUGCAUAUUAUUGAUGUUUUAAGUUAUAGUUCCAUAAAGAAUUGAGUUUAUGUUAUUAUAGUCCAAUUCUAUUAUGUAGCAAAAUCAAGCAUACAAUGGACAUUACGAAUGGAUACAUAGUAAGAUGCUUGAAAUAGAUAUGUGCUUUUUAAGGUGGUGUCUUUUGUUGCUGGAUUCAGUUGUCGUUACUCAUGAAGAGCUAAUUUAGAUAUAAAAUGCUUUCUUUGUUUUCUUUAGAUUUCUGAAAGAGUAUUUGGAAUAAGUUGAUUCCACAGCUUAUUUAAACUAGCAUAAUGUAGUGAUAGGUAGUUUUUGUUAUCAAAUUAUGUUGCUAUUAUAUUCUUGGAACCUUUGAGACAUUUUUUGUUAUGAAAUGCCAGGAAUCAAAGAGUCAGACACUGGUUUAGCUGCACCUAGCCAGUGGGAUUUAGUUUCUGACAAGCAAAUGAUGCAAGAGGAACAACCUCUGCAGGUAUUUUUGUCUCAAAUUUGCAUGAAUUUUAGGUAUUCUUGCUUGUUUUAUUCUGUGAUAUCUGGGAGUUUAUUAGUGAACUUGUUUUACAUCUUACAUAUGUUUGGUGUCUGACUAGAUUGUUGUUUCAUCAAAAGGUUGCUAGGUGUACGAAGAUUAUUAGCCCGAACACAGAAGAUGCUAAAUAUGUGAUAAAUGUUAAGCAAAUUGCCAAGGUAUACUUUUUGAGCAUGUAAUGCUCUUCCUACUAUAUUUACUUCUCUGGACAAAUGGACAACAACAUGGACAUCCCAAGUUCCAACUUAAAUUUUCUCUUUCUUCUAUUGGACUUGUGCAGUUUGUGGUCGGGUUGGGUGACAAAGUCUCUCCAACUGAUAUUGAAGAAGGCAUGCGAGUUGGGUAACGCCACAAUACCAUUCACUUGAUUAGUUGUCUCAAUUUCUUUUCUGUGACUGCUUCAUUUGAGGUGUGUUAGUAUUUCUAACUGUCUAGUGUGCCGUUAUUGCUGUUUUCAUUAUAAUAGCACUAAUAGUCCUUCUCACCCCCUCUCCCUUUCCCCUACCCACCCUAAAGCUAGUGUCUCAUAUAAGAGUUAAAAAAAAUAGAGAACAAUAAUUUAUUAGUGCAAGAUUAUUUCUAAAGCAACUAAUUGGCAAAACAGACUUGAGUUACAUAAUCACAGUGAUGGAUGGCCUUGGCACCUAGUUGCUGGUUGUGACAACAUACUAUCUACAAGGAAUUAUACAUCUAUCUCCUUGGUACUGUCUUUUGAGUCCUUUAAUCUGGUAUUUGCAUGAGCAUUAUAAUACUUGUAGGCCGUCAAAGCUCCUGUGACAUACAUAAUAACUACAGAGUUGGAUGUCGGAAUCAAUCUUACCUGGACUGUAUGUUCUGUUGUGCAACUGACAAUAUUCAGUUUAGAUGACCUUACAUUAUAUCGCAUCAAACCAUCUGCAGCGCUUCAACACUUCUUGUAUCUAUAAGCAUUUGUGGCAUGGUGCAGUUAGUUAUGUGCAAAGUUGUAAUCAAUAAUUUUACUAGGACUGAGACUUUUAUUGAGAAUCUCAAUCGGUGUUGGUUGGACAUCAUUGUUUGAUCUAAUAAUCUUUCGUUUGCAGAGUUGAUCGAAAUAAGUAUCAAAUCCAGAUUCCUUUGCCACCAAAAAUUGAUCCAAGUGUUACGAUGAUGACGGUGGAGGAGAAGCCUGAUGUUACAUAUAACGAUGUUGGUGGCUGUAAGGAGCAGAUUGAAAAGAUGCGAGAGGUAUGCCUUUUUUUGUGAUUGAAAAAUAUCAUGUUAUUGCUCAUUCAGGUUUUACAGUAGUGUAAAUUGAUUAUACAUAUAGCGGGUACCUGCAAGUUGGUCAAUGACUGCAUCAUUUUCGUUUUCUUUUAUUAUUCUUCCUCAGGUUGUGGAGCUUCCAAUGCUUCAUCCAGAGAAAUUUGUGAAGCUUGGAAUUGAUCCUCCGAAAGGUGUCCUUUGUUAUGGUCCUCCUGGAACAGGAAAAACUCUCCUUGCUAGAGCUGUGGCCAACAGAACUGAUGCCUGCUUUAUUCGUGUCAUUGGAAGCGAGCUGGUUCAAAAGUAUGUUGGAGAGGGAGCUCGGAUGGUCCGCGAACUUUUCCAGGUUGUUUGGUUUCCGGCGAUUCAAUGGCAAACUUAUUUGAUUAUUGUUCUUGGAUUUCCUUACUGUCGUAGUUAUUUUCAUUGUUUGUCUAACAAGUAGUCUUGUCAUUUAGAUGGCCCGUUCAAAGAAGGCAUGCAUUGUCUUUUUUGAUGAAGUUGAUGCUAUUGGUGGUGCCCGUUUUGAUGAUGGCGUUGGUGGGGACAAUGAAGUUCAACGUACUAUGCUUGAAAUCGUCAAUCAGCUUGAUGGUUUUGAUGCUAGAGGAAACAUCAAAGUUCUAAUGGCAACCAAUAGGUUCGACAGCUUGAUGUUUUCUAGUUUAUAGCUGUACUUCAAGUCAACUCUUAACCAUGCCCUUAGAACAUAUGAAUUCAUCUUCCUCUCUUUCCAAACUUUUCAGGCCUGAUACUUUGGACCCGGCUUUACUCCGUCCGGGAAGAUUGGAUCGUAAGGUUGAGUUUGGUCUGCCAGACUUGGAAGGUCGCACACAGAUAUUCAAGAUCCACACAAAAACAAUGAAUUGCGAAAGGGACAUCAGAUUUGAGCUUCUUGCUCGCCUCUGCCCCAACUCCACUGGUGAGCAUUUACUGAAGUGUUUCUUUACCUCAUUUCAAUAGUAUAAGUGGUUUGUCUUGAUAAUACUCUAUCUAACAAUUAAGCAAAAUUGAACAGAUCUUACCUACCUGAACUUAAAGUUGUUAAUUUACUAUCUAAACUUAUAGUUCUUUUGUACCUCUUGUUCAAAACUUGGUGAUAUUUGCAACUUCUUUGACAGGGGUAUUUUAUAAUCUAAUGGGUUAAUUUCUUACUUGAUAAAAUAUUCUAUAACCAAUUUGACAGAAUCCUUUUUAAGUUUUGACAAAAUCAGGUAGAAUUUUCUGAAGUCGAAAAGUUCUUUGAUAGAGGCACCUAUUUUAAAAUGUUCUAUAAUUGAUGUAGCUCUAUACUUUUUUAUUUUACAAGUUACUAUGCUCCGAUACACUUUUUUUUCUCCUUUUCUUUAAAAGUAAAAAAAAGUAAAAGCCAGUCUGAAUGCUUGGAACUUAGAUGCUUGGUGUCAUAUGUUUUCUACAGUCUAUUUUACUUGGACAAACAUCAAAAUUGCUCUAUUUGUUCUUCAUAAGUUUCUAACUAGUUCCUGUAUUUCUUUAUAUUAGGGGCGGACAUAAGGAGUGUGUGCACCGAAGCUGGGAUGUAUGCGAUCCGGGCACGCAGGAAGACGGUAACAGAAAAGGACUUUCUUGAUGCAGUGAAUAAGGUUAUUAAGGGUUAUCAGAAGUUCAGCGCAACGCCCAAAUACAUGGUCUACAACUAGCAGCACUGCUCCUGUUACUCUUAUCUCGGAAGGAAAUAUCACCGUAGUGUUGGCAUAUGAUUUUCUACCUGGUAAUAUACAUCUUUGUACAAGCAGGAUCCCUAAUUCCCAGUGACCAAUGCCUUCUCUUUUCUCAUCCAUAGAUUUAGACUAUGGUGUGCUUGAGCAAAAGGUAGUGGCUCUUUUCAGAAAUUAGAUGAUGCUUUAUCUUGAUGAAAGAUCCCAGUAUUAGCCAUGGUUUAUGUUUUCUUGUGUGUUUGUUUGUGUUUAUGUCAGAAAGAUGAUAGCACGCCAAUUGAUCUGUUAGUUAUUUUUAUUUCUACGUUACUUCUGUAGAAUUCAGGCGGUGGUCAGCUGGUUGCAAGUUAAACGAAUGGUUAUCGAGAAACAUUUCUCGUUACUAGCUUUUAUUCUAUCCUGAGGAACUGAAUUAUAUUUGUCUCACUAUUUGUGUUUCUAAGCUCAAAUUUACAUGCAUCACCUAACAGUCCUAGCUCAGCUAUUGAAAACUGUUUCCUUUUUUGUUUGUCAACUAAUUUUGAUUGUCAUGCCCUAGGCUAUGGGUUUUUUGUUUUCUCUGUUUGCUGUUUAAUUUAUCACGCGCUUGUAAUUUUCAAGAGGCAUAUUUGAUUUGUCCGUCGUAGAUGCAUGAAUGAAGGUGUUGUUUAUGAGAAUUUAUGCCAUAUAUAGGUGAAAAGAAAUCCACAUGUUUAUUUUAGUUGCAGUAUUCGGCAAUUAUGUUCUUGUUGUAGCAGCAACUUCUAUUUUAGAAGCUAAUUUAUUUAUUAGCUUUUCGAUGCAGCACAAGUAUCAGACUUACUAUUUGAGUCCACCAGUGUUAAUUACCUCACAUUAAGUUCCUUUUCUACUCGAGGCUUUUAGAAAGAAACCGUGUUAGAUGUCGCCUUAGUAGUGAGAGUAGUACAAGUCUAUUGUUAAUUAUAUUCAAGUCUUCGGCUUUAGUCUACUAACUUGUUUUUUCUGCUUGCUUUUAGAGACCCAAGUAGGAAAUCACGCACGGCAAGUAUGAAUUAAGCGGGAAGAUGACUAAUCCUUCUUCAUACACAAAGAAAUUGUAGCUUCAACCUUGUCCAGGUUAGUUCUAGAAUAUUUUUUAAUACAAUUAAUAUAUAUAUAUAUUAAUUUGGUGGAUAAUACAGUAUUCUGAGUCAUUAUUCAUUCCCUUCUGGUUUAAGAGGUUCUGAGCUUGGUUCAUGCAUCUUUCCUGUUAGUUAAGGAUAUAUAGUUCAGCUUACAUAACAUCUAGGCUAAUUCAGUUUUGAAGAAAUGAUUUUUGUAGUUCCAUUGAAAAGCACGUAAGCAUAUUUUCACAUUUGAUCUGUUUGCCUUCGAUCACACUGAAAGCUGAAUCCGUCUUGUAGGUACUACAGCACAAAAUUUAUCUUAUUAUUCCCUUCCAACUCUCCCAAAAUUUAUCUUACUGAUCUGAGAUGCGUAUGAAUACUGCAUACUUUUCCAUGUUCAGCCUUUUGAUCUACAAUAGUAUCACCGCAAAUAUUGCUUUUACUAACUACUGCAUUUUAAAUAAUAUAUUUGUAUUCGGGUAAAUUUUAAAUAUCAUCUCUGUAGUUUUGCACUUUCUCAUUUUAGUAUCAUAUGGUUUAAAGUGUAUCAAGUUAGUGUCCCGUAAUUUUAUUUUUCUCUUUUCGUCAGUUCCUCUGUUAAUAUUUCGUUAAAUUAUAUACAAAAAGUUUAGAUACUCCACCUAGCUUUAUCGAUAUUCACUUUAGUAUCCUUUAGUUUUAAUUUUGUUACUAGUUUAACAAAAAAAAAUUAGUGAAAUAAAUAAUAAAAAGAGAAAAAUGAAAUCAUAUGAUACUAACUUGAUACACUUUAAACUACAGGAUACUAAGUAAAAAAAAAACGAAAUUACAGGGUGAUAUUUGAAGUUUUUUUUUUUAUAUUUAUCUGCAUGUGAAUAUAUGAUGUAUCUCUCUCUCUCUCUCUCUCUUUGAGUCAAUUUAAUAUUCUGACCCAUGCUUUGAAGCGGGCAAAAAUUGUGUGGAUAUAGUGUCCACAUUAACAUUUUUGGGGACACUCCGAAUAGGCACCACGUGGCUCGCAAGCAUUCAUCUCACCAUUCCUUUUUUUUUAAAAAAAUAUGAUUUUUUAGAGAGAGAAAGAAGUAGAGGAAGGGACGGUGGGAUGGAUGCCUGCGAACCACGUGGUGCCCAUCGAGAGUGUCCCCAAAGAUGCUAAUUUGGACACUAUGUCCAUGCAAUUUUUGCCCACAAAACACUCUCGCACAAAGUAGUGAGGAGCCCAGACAUUAUUUUAUGUCCUUUUCCUUAUUUACCCUUUACUAUUGUUCAAAAUUUUUAAAUUUAUUUUAAAAUUAUAUAUGUGAGACCUUAUAUAGUUCUAUAUAUAAGAUAUAAUAGAGCUAAACUUCUUAACCUGAUUAUAGUAUUUUAGACGAUGAUUAGGUCCAAAAAAUUAAAAGAGUUAGGCAUGCUAGAGUUAGAGUAGUCAUAGAAUAGGUGGUCCCUCAGAAGUGGGGCAUUAUAAUUAAUAUCAGAGCUAGUUAUCAGUCGAAAAUGUAAUUUGAGUCUCGGCUGAGUCAGAAUUAUACUGAAAGUGUGAGAUGAGUCUUGGCUGAGUCAAAAUUAUACUAAAAAUGUGAGUUGAGUUUCAUUUGAAUCAGAAUUAUAAAGCGGGAAGAGUGAGCCUCUCAUGUUAAUAACUAUUGUGGAUAGAGCGCGGCUCUACCACAAGGUCGGUUAAGGCUAACGAGACGAGUCUUACAGAGACACGAGCUCGGUUAAGACUAGCGAGACAAGUCUCAUAUCGCAUGAUACUUAUUAGUCUAAACUUGACAAGAAUGUCAGGAUUUACAACGGGAGAGAAUGUGAUAUCUCAGAUAGUUGUACAUAUAAGAUAUAAUAGGAUUAAAACUUUUAAUCCGAUUAUAAUAUUUUGGACAGUGGCUAAACCUAAAAGGUUAAAAAAAUUAAGCGUGUAAGAGAUACAGUAGGCCUAAGAUAGAUGACCCUCAGAAGUGGGCUUCACAAUCAAAAUAUUUUUUAAACUCUAAAUUUUAUUUGCAAAGUCUAGAGGUUUGAAAAUAUUUGAAGGGAUGUUUGAAAAUUAUUGAGGCGAAAUAUUAUCUUUUACUAGUGCUGUUAAAAAAUUGAUAGAUAAUCUAUUUGGUUUGUGUGUUUGGGGUGUUAACUAAAUUUUUUUGUCAGUUUUUUACUUGAUCAAUUUUAUAAAUAAUAUAGUACUUGAGUUAAUUUUAAAUACUUCUAUUAUAAUGCAAGGUUUUGAGUUCCAAUCCUCUUCGUUGACAAAUUAAUGAGAAGGUAAAUUUGUCAGCCACAUAUACUUAAAACUUAUUUAGAAGUACAUAUAUUGGAAUCAACUAUAGUGGAUAUUUGGCCUAACUUUUGAAAAGGGAUUUUGUGUUCAGAAGUGAUUUUCGACUGAAUAGAGCAUUUGGUAAUCUUAUUUUUAAAAAUUGAUUUUGAUUUUUACAAUCAGUUUUUUAAUUUUCGAAACCCAAAAUCAGAAGCAGCUAAAACUUGCUUCUUGAAAUCUGAUUCUGAUUUUGAACUCAAAAUUUUAAAUUUUUAUUUGGAUUUUACAUUCAAAUUUUAAAUUUUAAUUUCGACUUUUAAAUAAUUUAUUUUUAUUUAUUUAUACAAUAUAUAAAAUAUUUAAUAAUUUAUAUAAAACUCGACGGGUUCGGGUCCAAAUCCGAUCCGUUGACAUCCCUAAAAGAGAAGAAAAGAAAUAUAUAAAUAUGAAACAUAGUGAAUCAUUCACCGUGUUUGACUUGGCAACCAACCUCUCGACCCGCCCACGUGGCGCUUGCGUGGUGCCUGCGUGGCAGAAGUAGGGUCAUUUUUGUAAUUAUAAAUUUGGUGGGGCUAGUUUUAAAAUAAAAUUUUUUGGGGAGGCCAUUUGCAUAAAAAGUUCUUAAUUGAAGGGUUAAAUGCAUACAAGUUCCUACAAAUAUAGUAAAUUACAAAUGCAUACUUAUAAAGUUCAACUUUCAUAUGUUGUUCUUAUAAAAGUUCUAAUAUUUUCAAAUAUAUCCCGCUGGUUUGUUACCGUUUUAAACUGUUUAUAUUUUAAGUGAAAUGUCAAUUUUGUCAUCACAAAUAUGUCUCUCCAAAAGCCGCAACAGUAUAUUAUAAGAGGGGCAAAAAUACCAAGUUAUCUCAUAAACUAAUUAGGGUUAAGUAUUUAAUUUAUGGUUAACUAAAGUUUUCUAACGAAUUCUAACGGCAAAGACAUAUUUAAAAAUAUUAGAACUUUUGUCUGGACAAUACAUGAAAGUUGAACUUUGUAAGGAUAUAUUUGUAAUUUACUAUAUUUGUAGGGACCUGUAUGAAAUUAACUAAUUGAAGAUUGUAGAACGUUUAGCUGAAUCUAAUAGCAAAGCAAGCUUAAAAAAUAUUAUUUUAGAAAGUUCUUUAACAACUUUUUCUUUAUUAAUUAUAUUAAUAUUUUUUAUAAACUAAUCAGGGUUCAGUGUAUUUAUACUUUAUCAUUUUGUAUUUGAAAUUUCUAAUAUAUUUAUACUUUGCCAUUCUAUAUUGGAAAAGUACUCUCAUGUUAUAUAAUUUAUCUUAUAUUUUACUGUAAGAAUUUAUUAUUUGAUAGAAUAGUAAAAUACUAUUAUUUACAAAUGAUGCUUUUUUUUUUCUUUUCUUUUUUUUUUUUUUUUGAGGGAAACACGCCCUAAGGCGAAUUUAUUUAUCAAUCGGGCGGUACAAUGUGAUGGAAUUCAUCUACAGAGGACCAAAAAGAGAGUUUGUUGCUAAUAAGCCCCCAGUUGGCCAAUCAAUCUGCAACUACAACAUUUUUAGAAUAUCUUGACGACCAUCCAUAAUUAAAUUGUUUGGAACUUUCCAGAAAAGUCCGAAGAUCCGUGAUUCUUGUUCGAGCUUCAUCUGUUAACGAAGCUGAAUGAUAGCUCCUAAGGUGCAAGGCUUUGAUGAUGGGUGCUGAAUUUGAGUAGAUAUGGAAAGUUUCUUCUGGAUACCUUUGUAACAAAAGAUUUGUCGCUCGGGAGAUUGCUUCAAUUUCCGCAGAGCAAGCGUCAUGGACAUCCUUCAGUACGUCGGAUAUGCACAUAAUGAUUCCAUGCAAAUUGGCGAUUAGGCAUCCUACUCCACCUACAGUGCCACCUUUCCAACUCCCAUCCACCCAUACAUAUAAGGAGGAUGUCGCAGGUUCCUGAAUCAGAUUCGGGUCCUGAAUGCUAAUCCUCGUCAUGUUCUCUUUAGAAUAUAAGGUUGUUCAGCUACGAGCCCGUGAAAUGAUGGUAGUAAAACUGAAAAUUUUUCCUUCAAAUAUCAUCUCAUUCCUUCCUUUCCAUAAGUUCCAUAACAGAUGAAUACAGAAAGCCCUAUGAGUCGUCAUAGCUUUAUUAGUUAGCAUAAAGAAAAUCUAAAAGGACAGAGGUCUAUCCGCAUUUACAAAUGAUGCUAAAGUGUUAAAUUUUGUAACCAGAUAGUCUAAGUCACAGAAACGCGGCUGACACUUGACGGAGCGACUCUUGAAAUUAAAAUAAAAUAUAAAAAAAGAAUCGAAGAGGACUCGUACGACCGGCGCAAAGCCGUCUCAGAAUAGGGUUGUCUGCACCUGGUGUAUAUAUAGUAGUUGAGUUAGUAUACUAUUGAUAGAAUAUAAAGUAUUUUAUUAUUAUUAUUAUCUUUUGAAGAGAAAGGUAGCAUACUAUUCCGGUUUUUUUUUUUUUUUUUUUAAUGAACUUAGAAAGAAAUGUGAAAUAGCUAAACUUCGAACUUGAGAUCCUGCAUACCAACUAUCAAGUAACCAAGACAAAAAUCUUACUUCGACAUGUCAAGGCUCGUACUUGUGCCAUACGUGUGUUUAAAUAAGGACAUAACUUUUAUUUUCUCCCAAGCAACUAGCUUGAGAAUGAAGGAACAUAUAAAUACCAACAAUGCACUUUAAAAUUGUACUUUUCAUUUCCAACAUACAAUAUGUUGAAAUGAAUUCUAUUUAUUUGCCAUACCAUCAUAUGUAACUUAUUCAUUUUAACUCGUAAAGCCACGAUACCUAUUUUUAUUUUUAUUUUAUUUUUUUAAUAAAGGUGUCCAUAGGGUUUGUAAAAUAUAAAUAUUGAUUAGUCCUCAGAUAAAAGUCUAUUCUUUGUAAGGGAAAAAAAAAACUUUGGGGAAAAUUUUUUGGAAUCUCUCUUAGCCAUAUAAUUGUGCAUCAAUUAACCAUAGUUAUUCAAAACAGAUCUAGUAUAUGAUAUAAUUGUGAUAAUUCAAAUUUAAGUUAAGAUUAAUCCCGAAUCAUGUCGUAGAAUAAAGUUAUAACUAAUUAUUAAGUUAGUCACUCCGCAUAAUUAAGAACAAACUUAUACUCCUCUUUUGAUAGAAAAUUUUUUCAGAAUUAGUGGAAGAUAUCUUUUGAUAGAAUUUUUUUUUCAGAAUUAACGGAAGAAAUUAAUCAGAAUUCGAUGCAUAUUCCAACUACUCUCUUCUUCUUCUUCUUCUUUUUUUUCUUUCGGAUAAAUAUAAAUAAAGUAGAAUUGGCCCGAUAAUGUUAUCUAUAUCUAUAUUAAUCCAUAUUCAAAUUCAAUUCAAUUACUAGUAAAUGAAUCAUAUAUUAUAUGUUCUAAUAGGCUAAAUUACAGAAAACCUCCCUAUAAUAACCCGUUUUUUUACUUUUCCUCCCUGACAUUUAAAAAUCUACACUUUACCCCCUGUAAAAUGAAAAAUAUUCACAGGGAGGUUACAGUGUGUAAAAUGACCAUUUUGCCCCUCGCCAUUGUCAUCUUCUUCCCAUCUUCUUCAGCCGCCCCUUCGUUCGGCCGCGAUUCCCACCUCAAUCGGCCGCGAUUUCUCUCCAUUUUCUUCUCCACCUGCUCCCCUUCUCCUCCUGCACUCUCGCCGCCCUCGAUUUCGGCGACAGUAGGAGAAAACCGAGAUGAGCGACAGUAGGAGAAGGGCAAAGAAGGCGAAGACGAGGCGACGGAGGACGGCGAAGGGGAUGUGGGUGAGGGCGAGGCAGUGGAGGACGGCGAGGCGGCUAGACGGCGAGGUGGCGAGGCGGAGGGAGUCGAAGCAACAGGGAGAUGGCGGAGGAGUAUUUUCGGCAUAAAAAUAUAUUUUUUAACGGAAUCCUGACGGAACCCUAACGAUAAAGGAUGAAGUGCAUAUUUUUUAUUUUACAGGGGGACAAACUGUAGGUUUUUAAAUGUUAGGGAAGGAAAGUAAAAAAGCGGGUUAUUACAAGGAAGUUUUCUGUAAUUUAGCCAUUCUAAUAUUAUAAAUACUAUGUGAAGUAGUGGUUUAUUAAAACCAUCAAUAUAUUUUUUAAAUUAAUUUGUCUAUGAGAAAAGGUCAAGAGAGAGACUUUGAUUCUCGUUUCAACAAUUAUGAUGAUAUGAGUUGCACCUGCAAAUUAAAAUUAAUUGGCCAACAAAUUGGUCAUCAUUAUUUCAAUAUAAUCGACCCCUCUGAUUUGCUAAAUACUAUUUAAUUGAGAGCUUAAUUAAUUCCCUCCUCUGGCCAUACAUCUUAUAUGUAAUGAAUGUGUCAAAUGUAGAGACUAAUUAGAACUCACAGUCCAAUUAGAUUCUUAAUUAAACUCUAUUUAUGUUUUAAUAAAACUAAAUCUCAUCUUAUAUCCUAAUUAAAGUAGAAUUUGACUUUAAUUUUAAAUAAAUUUGACUUUAAUUUAAAUAACUAUAAAUUUAAUCCGAAAUCUAACAAUAGAUUUUCUCACUAAUCUGUUAAACAACAACAUUUGUAAAACAACCUCUUCUGUUUACUCUAUUCUUAUCUUGUUAUAUCAAGUCCUAUUUAUCUUAUGAUUAACUCAACCUAGUUAAGAACUGAAAUUUGCUUUUAUCCUUUCAGACAUUAUACGAAAGCUUUUUCUUCAAAAAUUUUUUUAAUCUUUUUAAUAAGCGUAAAAUAUAGAAAACUCUAUGUAAAUACUUAUUUUUUCACUUUCUCCACAUGCUUUCAAAAAUUUAUAUUUUAUCUUCUAAAAAUUUCAAGUUGAUGGAUUUAAACGCCCUUCGUCAGAGUUCCAUUACUACUAUUUCGUCCAUUUCUGUUUGUGCAUGUUUGGUAUGCAGAAUUUCCAUUUCGAUUCCAACUCCCGGUGAAUGGGAAUCCCCUCAAUUACCACUUUUUCCAAUCCGGUUUAGGACGUUGGAUUGAAAAUUGAAUCCAGGCGGAAUGAAUUUGUGCGGAUUAAAUUUAACAUUUUUAAAUUUAUUUUUUAAUUAAAACGGAAGUUUAAGUUUAAAAUUAUAUUUAUAAAUUUUAAUUUUAAUUUAAACUUAAAUUAAAAAUUAAAAUUCAAUCAAGCAUUUCGAAUAUAAUUUUAAAAUUUUGAUGUAAAUUUUUAAUAUUUAAUUUUCAGUUUGAAUUUAAAUUAAUAUAUUAUAAAGAUAAAAUUGACAUAUUAAUCUGAAUAUAUUUCUGAUAUCUAUGUGAAUCAAAUAUCGAUAAUGGGAAUGAUUCAUUCCCAUUUCGUUACAGGUGGCGAACCAAAUAAAAUGAGAUAAUGAAUCAUUCCGAUUCUGUUUUCAGCUUAUUCUCUUUUCGAUUUCGAUACCGAUUCCGACUUCGACGCAAACAAAUUAUAAAAUUGUUAGAAAUGCAUAAAAAAAAUUUACUUUGUUUUUUUCUUAACAAGUAAGGAAAAUUUAGUCAUCUUAGAAAGUAAAAAAUAUGAAUAUUUAUAAGGGAACGUUUUUUUUUUUUAUUUUAGUCAAUAAAUAAAGUUUUAAGGGUACUAAGCAUUCUCCAAAUACAUAAAUAAAUAAAGUUUUUAAGGGUACAAAGCAUUCUCCAAAAACACAUAUAAGAUAACUAUCUGCAUAUAUCGACCAUCAUUUUCAAUUUUCCUCAAGCCUGCACGGAUUAUUUAGAAGAUCAAUCUGGGGCGGAAAAUAUGAAAGCAUCAAGCUAGGCCGGUGCUCUGCAAAAAGCGCCCAAACUCACCUGCAUGAUGUGGAAUCAUUGAAUCCUUUCUUUGACAUACUUGUCGUCUCGUCCGAAACUAAUAAUAAAAUUCGGGAUGUGGCGAACCCUCGUGCGCCAGUCAUUGCUGUGGUCGCCUUCUCCUCCUCCUCCUCGAAGCAGCUCAACAAGUUCCUCUGCUGGAUGGUCAAUGCAUAAAUACCGAAGGGUGGUAAGGUACUCGAUACCGUGGGGCAGCUCCUUUAGCUCGGGGCAACGGUAUAGGUGAAGCUUAUUCAGUCUUGCCAUUGCUCCUCUUUCUAUUUCCACCUGACUGAGCUUCUGGGCAAAUUCUAUUAACAAUUUCUUUAGCUUCGGGAAUGAUGAUGCUUGGAAGUGCAACUUCAUGCCAUUAUAUGCCGCCCUAAGUUCAAGACACAUCAACGCGGGCAGUGCUUGCAGGUAAGGAAAUGUAUCUUCAUCCAAUUUUGCAAAAUAAAGUGUUAAUGUGGUUAGGUUUGUUAGAGACCCAAAGGACGUGGCAAGCUCAGGGAGUGAGUUUUUCUCUAAUUCACCAAACAGAAGUAAUCUUUGAAUAGGUGGAGGUAGGCGCAGGGUGCCCAACUGCUGUAAUUCUCGCCCUUCACUCCAAAUAAGUAAAUCGCUAAGAUGGUUCAUCUUUGUGAUACUAUUCCACAAGUCUGCAUAGUGAUGGGUUCUUACGCCAGUUAUCUCAAAUGUCCGCAACUCUGUCAAAGCUUCUACAUUCCGCACGAUCUUCCUAGUUGCAGUAAUAUUUAACAAACUCUGUAAGCCCUUCAAGCGCCGUAUUCCCACCGGUGCCUUGAUGUUCUUACCCGAAUUGCAGGGCAAAAAUAGAUGUCUCAACUUUUGAAGCUCUGUUAUUCCUUUUGGCAGCUUUUCUAUGUUACUUUGUUCCAAAUCUAAUAUUUGCAGAUUUCGUAGCUUCACAAUUAAUCUUGGAAGCUCCUUAAUUUUUGUUGCUCUCAAACCAAGAUAAUGCAGGUUGAAUAGGUUACAGAUCUCACUCGGUAGUUUCUCGAUUAGUGCUCCUUCUAAUUCCAAGACACGUAAAAAUUUUGAUGAUCUUAAGACUGACUUCAGUAAAUCAUAGCUCAUGGAAUUGUUGAAAACAAGUACUGAACGCAAAUGAGAUUUGUCUUCAGUACAAUAAUUAGUUAUAUUGCUUAGGAUUGACAAGCGGCGUGCUUCGGAACUCUGCAAUUUUUUCCGUGAAUGCUCAUAGACCAUGCAGAAACUUAACUCCUUUGACUCGGAAAGAGCAAGCACACGAAUGAUGUCAUGCAUUCGACAUGCGCCAACUCUACCAACUCUGUUCCUAUAUACCACUUGUAGUAGGCAGCGAUGAACAAGUUCGUUAAGGCAGUCCUCUGCCACUUCCUCCAUCGUUCUUUCCCUUUCUUCAACGAACCCUUCAGCCACCCAAAGCCUUAUGAGCCUAUCACUUACAAUUGUAUAGUCUUCUGGAAAGCUAGAACAAUAUAAAAAGCAAUUUCGAAGGUAAUGGGGAAGAUCGUCCAAACUAAGUUUCAAAACAUCAUGUACUUUUUCAUGGAGCUUCGAUUCGUUGUUGGUUAGAUACCACUCAAGAUCCGUGUAAACCUUCUCCCAUUCAGAAUCAGUUUGUUCUCGAAAUGAUAAGAGACGGGCUAUAGAUACGAUAGCAAGGGGCAAGCCACCGCACUUCUCGACAAUUUUUUUAGCACAUUGUUCUAAAGGCUGAGGGCAAAUCUUGUUUGCACUUUUCCAAAAUGCGUUUUUACAAAACAAAAUCCACGGAUGAUCUCCCUCUAGUUGCUUUAGCUCAAACAUACGGUCCUCGUUUGCUAAUUUAGCUACAUUACGAAUUCUUGUUGUGAGAACUAUUCUACUCUUGCUAUUGCUCGUGAGAAGUGCAUUGUUUAUAUUGUCCAUUACAUCAGUACUCCAAACAUCAUCCAGAAUGAGUAUAUAGUUUUUACACUGCAAGUAAGUGUGGAUUUCCUCAACCAAACUUCUGUAAUCCAUGGUAUCAAUGUUGUUAGGUACUUCUCUUUUCGCAACCAAGCUUGUGUAAUCCAUGGUAUCAAUGUUGUUAGGUACUUCUCUUUUCUUACGAUCUUCCCUUUGAAACUCUUUUCUGAUUUGUCUAAGCAAAUCAUGAGUCUCAUAGCUUUGAGAUACAGCAACCCAGGCACAAGCAUCAAAGGAAGCUUUGAUGAUAUUGUACACAUAAGUCACGAGAGUGGUCUUCCCUAGACCACCCAUCCCCAACACUGAGAUUAUAAUGGGCUGUCGUUGCUGCUCAUCCUCAUCUUUCAACCAUCUGAGCAACAAGUUCUUGUACUCGUCAAUACCCACGAUAUUAUCCUCCUCGACAAAAUGUGCUAAUUCUGCACGGCUUUUGCUACCGCCAACAGCUAUUAGUGGUCUUGCUUCAUUUUCCAUUCCUCUCGUAUCAUAUCGUGUCCUUCUCUCCAUAAUGUUUUGGAGCUUAAUUUUGAUCUCUUUAAGUUUGCUGCUAAGGUCAUCCCAUGUCUUUAUAUUUCUGCACCUCUUGAUUGCUCUGGGUAGAACCCCUCCUUGCUCCUCACCCAGCUUGUACGUGAACUCAUCUAUAAUAUCCUCAAUGUCGAAAGCCAAGUCUCUCGUUUGUUUUAUAAAGAUUUUUGUGCUCUCAUCCUUCUUUUUUAGUCUUUCUGCGAUCUGUAGGAAGGAUUGCAUGCUCUCAAGCUCAUCCUUAAUCUCACUUAUAUCCUUCAUGAGUUCUUUCAUUGCUGAUAUCCGUGUUAGUAGUCGUGAUGUUGCUGAUUUAGUUGCUUCACUAGCUAUGGUAAUGCCGAUCUUCAGAAGUAAUGCGCUAAUCACAGCCUCCGCCAUUGGGAAUUCCUAUGAAGUGAGCCCGGAAUUAAUAAAUGGUCCUUUCAAACUAUCAUGUCUCUUCAAAUGUACCGCUAGAGAAAAUGAUUAUUUUUGAGCGCUCUUAUGAUUCUAGGCAAUUUUUGCAAAAAAUAUGUAAUUGUCUCAACCAAAAUAACUCUGUAGUGCACUGAACAAACAUUUGUUAAAAUCCUCAGUUAAAAGGAAGAAACACCAGUAACAACAUUGUAGUCUCUAAGAACAAAAAAUAAUAAUUUGUUUGAGAAUCAGAUUAACAAAUUUUUGAGAUAAAAGAUUCAUCAUAACUAAUCAUACUAAACUCCUACAUGACCUCAAUGCAUAUUUGUAAAGCAAGAUGUGGAAUAGCCCUUUAAGAGGAGUAUGAAAUCAAUAAAGAGUUGGAAAGCAAAUGAAUCUUACUGCCAGUCACUAAGUAGAGGGAAUUGUAUUAACAGUGAUUGUAAAUUAUUCUACAAUUAACAAUUAUAAGGCUAGUUGCCCAUGAAGGCCUCUUCUUGUUUAUAAUUAAGUUUAGGGAAAACUUCAAAAACCCCCCUGUGGUUUCACACUUUUUCAUUUUAGUACCCUGUGGUUUGAAGUGUAUCAAGUUAGUACCCUGUGGUUUCUCACUUUAUCACUUUAGUACCCUGUGGUUUAAAAUGUAUCAAGCUAGUACCCUGUGGUUUUGCACUUUAUCACUUUAGUACCCUGUGGUUUCACACUUUAUCACUUUAGUACCUUGUGAUUUAAAAAACUAUAGGGUACUAACUUGAUACAAAAUUAAAACCACAGGGUACUAAAGUGAUAAAGUGCAAAACCACAGGGUACUAACUUGAUACACUUUAAACCACAGGGUACUUAAGUGAUAAAGUGAGAAACCACGGGGUACUAACUUGAUACAUUUUAAACCACAGGGUAUAAAAGUGAAAAAAAUUGAAACCACAAGGGGGGUUUUUGAAGUUUUCCCUUAAGUUUAUAUCGGGACUCUUUUAAGUCAUUUGAGGAAGAAACUAUUAGUGCUUAUUCAAAUAGUUUUGUUUUGAUGGAAAUAUAAGAACUUAAUUUUAGACGUGAACUCCCACAUUUCUUAUGUGUUAAAUUUUACUGCUUGCCUUGACAUUCAUGCUUGUAUUCCUAUUAUCGGAUCAGAAUCUAAAAGUUCUAUUUUAACUUCUUUGAUUUGUGCUGCAAUUUGUAAGAUGUUGUAGAAGGUCAUCUCGUUGUACACAUUAGCAAGUUAAAUCCAAAGAAAAUCACUAUCAAUUAAUUGCAUACUCUAUAUGCUAUCCACUGUACAUUUCUCGAUGAUACUUUUAGUAUAUAAUUAAGGAAUCAUAGUGGCUAUUGCUCUUAUUACCCGAAAGAUUGAUCUGAUAGUAAUCUCUUAAUUAAAGACUUAAGAUGUUUUACUCAUUUACAUGUUAAAUAACUUGCGAACGAUGUCAAUACACUCUGGUAGAAGAUGUAAAGAGAAAAGACAAACAAACUAAAUUUAAAUGCCAUUAAACUGCAUAUAUUAGUUGAGCUUUUUGAUAAUAAAUAAAAUUCUCUUAAAUAUCUAGAUCAAUAUCUAUAUCCAGCAUUAUGAAUUAAAGAUUUUUUUUAAAAAAAAAUACUGUAUUUAGAAGGUUGCUAAUUUUGACCAUUCGCAUUGUGCCGUCUUGGUGAUCCAGAAAAUAAAUUUUAACUAUCACAAAACUCUUUUCCUAUAAAGUUUAUGUAUCUUUAAUCAUCUUUCAUGAUAUUGAUCAUCAAUUUAGGUGCUCAAUCAUCAACAGUAAAGUGAAAGUAUUAUAUGAGGCCAAAUUAUCAAGUGAAUCCAAACUAUAUGUUGAGCAAAAAAGAAUUACUCUCUUUGCUUUACAGAAUUAACUAGCUUAUAGCAAAGAAAAUUAAAAACAAGAACACUUGGAACUUAAAAAUUAAUUAAAAAGAGUAAGUGGAAGAAGAACAACUGACCACAAGAUCUCAGGAAGAGAUUGAAGAGGGGGCUGCUCCAAAUAUCAAAUUUGAUAAGGAAAUAAAUAAAAAGGAAAAUACAACAACCAAAGAAGCUCUUGAAGGUGUUUUGAUGAUUGAGUGAGAGAUGAGGAUAAGUUUGGUCAACAAAUAAUUGGUGGCAAAUGAUUUGGAGAGUGCAGCUACUGAGAAACCUCUUAUCUCUUAAUUGUUCCUAUCAGCACUCGAUUGCAGUGGGCCAUGAUGAAUUUUUGAGAUCUCUGGUCUAGAUUCUGAAGAAAAUAACUUUUAAAAAUAUAAUUUUGAUUUGGAGAAUUGAUUUUAGUUAAAAAUUAUAUAGUAUUUGCCUAAGUCUAGUAAAAAUAAUAUAUUUAAUAUUUAAUUUAAAAUUUUCAAAUUUUAAAAUUUAAAAUUGUUAACUUUUAAUUUUAAUAUUUAAUAUUUAAAAUCUAAAAUUUUAAACACCAAUUGAAAAUUUUAUAUUUCAAAUUUCAAGCUUAAAAUUUAAAAUAUAAAUUUUAAAAAUUAAAAUCAAUAAAUUUCUAAGAUGUGAAAUUUAAAAAUUUAAAAUCUAAAUUUCAAAUUUUAAAAUAUGAAAUAUAAAAUUUCAAAUUUGAUAAGGAAAUUUUUAAAAAAAAAAUACUGUAACCAAAGAAGAUCUUGAAGUAGAUAUUUUGGGAAUUGAGGACUGAGAGAUAAGGAUAAGCUGUGUAAACAAAUAAUUGGGAGCAAAUGAUUUGGACAGUGCAGUUAUCGAUCAAGAAGCUUCUUCCCUCUUUAUUGUGAGAGAUUCUACUAUGUACCAGUCGCACCACGUUAUUUAUUAAUAGCCGAUCAUAUCUCUCUUUUUGAGUAAAAAAAUAUAAUAAAAAUAUUUUUUUAUUAACCAUGACGGCAGGGGUGAACCCAAGGACAACAAUCUGAUUAGUUGGUAAUGCAACAUCAAUAAUUUAACUGAUUCAUUCUAUAUUAUUUUUUCUCUUUACUGUUCCUAUCAGCACUUGAUUGCAGUGGGCCAUGAUGAAUAUUCAUGGGUCUGUUGGGCCAAUAUUCCCAAAAAAAAAAAAAUUACAGAAUUAAUUUUGAUUUAGAGAACUGAUUUUAAUUAAAGGGUUAAAUACAUACAGGUCCGUGCAAAUAUAGUAAAUUCAAGUAUAUCCCUAUAAAGUUUUUUAACGAAUUCUAACGGCGAGAACGUAUUUGAAAACAAUAGAACUUUUAUAAGAACGACAUAAGAAAGUUGAACUUUGUAAGAAUAUAUUUGCAACUCAUUAUGUUUGUAGGGGCCUGUAUGAAAUUAAUUAAUUGAAGAAUUUUUUUUGCAAAUAGCCCCCUGGCAAGUUUUUAUUUUAAAAUUAGCCCUAUAAAAAUUUAAUUUACAAAAAUGGCCCUGUCCCUGCCACGCAGGCGCCACGUCGACGCCACGCGGGCAGGGCUGGGGACAGUAUAUUAAGUUGAACACGGUGAAUGAUUCAUUGUGUUUCAUAUUUAUAUUACUUUUCUUCUCUUUUAGGGAGUAGGGAUGUUAAUGAGUAUGGAUACCCAAAAUAUUAUCCGAAUCCAAAUCCCAAUAAAUUAUUUAUAUACAUAAUUUAUUUUUAUUUAUUUAUACAACAUAUAAAAUAUUUAAUAAUUUAUAUAAAACCCGCCGGGUUCGGGUCCAAAUCCGAUCCGUUGACAGCCAUAAAAGAGAAGAAAAGAAAUAUAUAAAUAUGAAACACGGUGAAUGAUUUACCGUGUUUGAACACGGUGAAUGAUUCAUCGUGUUCAACUUGGCAACCAACCUCCCGACCGGCCCACGUGGCGCUUGCGUGGCGCCUGCGCGGCAGAAGUAGGGUCAUUUUUGUAAUUUUAAAUUUGUUGUGGCUAGUUUUAAAAUAAAAUUUUUUCAGGAGGCCAUUUGCAAAAAAAGCCCUUAAUUGAAGGGUUAAAUGCAUACAAGUUCCUUCAAAUAUAGUAAACUACAAAUGCAUACCUAUAAAGUUCAACUCUUAUAUGUCGUUCUUACAAAAGUUCUAAUAUAUUUAAAUAUAUCCCGCUGGUUUGUUACCGUUUUAAACUGUUUAUAUUUUAAGUGAAAUGUCAAUUUUGUCAUCACAAAUAUGUCCCACCAAAAGUCACAACAGUAUAAUAUAAGAGGGCCAAAAAUACCAUGUUAUCUCAUAAACUAAUUAGGGUUAAAUAUUUAAUUUAUGGUUAACGAAAGUUUUCUAACGAAUUCUAACGGCAAAGACAUAUUUGAAAAUAUUAGAACUUUUGUAGGGACAAUACAUGAAAGUUGAACUUUGUAAGGAUAUAUUUGCAGGAACCUAUAUGAAAUUAACUAAUUGAAGAUUGUAGAACGUUUAGCUAAAUCUAAUAGCAAAGCAAGUUUAAAAAAUA